UUAUAUGCUUGUCUUUAAGAUUAAGCCAUGCAAGUGUAAGUUCAGUCCUGCAUACGUGCGGGCUAGACUGCGGACGGCUCAUUAAAUCAGUUAUGAUUCCCAGGAGCCAGCAACCCACUAUUGGAUAACUGUGGCAAUUCCAGAGCUAAUACAUGUACCCAAGCUUCGCCUUUCCUCACGGGAGGGAGGAGUGCACUUGUUAGUCUGAAACCAAUCCGGCCGCCUUCGCCGGCGGUCGGUCUCACUGGUGAAUUCUGGACAAUUUCGCCGAUCGCAGGGCCUUCGAUGCCCUGCGACACAUCCUUCAAGUGUCUGACCUAUCAAACUAGAUGGUUCGCGCUAUGCGCACCAUGGUGACAACGGGUGACGGGGAAUCAGGGUUCGAUUCCGGAGAGGGAGCAUGAGAAACGGCUGCCACAUCCAAGGAAGGCAGCAGGCACGCAACUUACCCAAUGCCGACACGGCGAGGUAGUGACGAAAAAUAAUGAUACGGGACUCAAUUACGACGUCCCGCAAUUGAAAUGAGUACACUCUAAAUCCUUUAACGAGGAUCUAUUGGAGGGCAAGUCUGGUGCCAGCAGCCGCGGUAAUUCCAGCUCCAAUAGCGUAUGUUAAGGUUGUUGCGGUUGAAAAGCUCGUAGUUGGAUCUCGAUGUCGGGAUGGCGGUUCGCCCGUAGUGGCGAUCUACAGCCAGUUACCCGUCGAUAACUUGUCUACAGCUCCCCUGAUGCUCUUCGCUGAGUGUCUUGGGUGCUCGGAACGUUUACUGUGAAAAAAUUAGAGUGCUCAAAGCAAGGCCCUAGUGCCUGAAUACUGGUGCAUGGAAUAAUGGAGAACGACCUCGGCUCCACCUGGUUUACGGUGCUCGAGGUAAUGAUUAAGAGGGGCGGCCGGGGGCAAACGUACUGCGGCGCGAGAGGUGAAAUUCUGUGACCGUCGCAGGACGAUCUAAAGCGAAGGCAUUUGCCAAGAAUGUCUUCCUUAGUCAAGAACGAAAGUCAGAGGUUCGAAGACGAUCAGAUACCGUCGUAGUUCUGACCACAAACGAUGCCAACUGAACCAGUGUCGGAGUUACUUAAUUGACUCGAUACUAGACCUCCGGGAAACCAAAGUCUUUGGGUUCCGGGGGGAGUACGGUUGCAAAGCUGAAACUUAAAGGAAUUGACGGAAGGGCACCACCAGGAGUGGAGCCUGUGGCUUAAUUUGACUCAACACGGGAAACCUCACCCGGUCCGGACACUGGAAGGAUUGACAGAUUAACGCUCUUUCUUGAUUCAGUGGGUGGUGGUGCAUGGCCGUUCUUAGUUGGUGGAGCGAUCUGUCUGGUUAAUUCCGUUAACGAACGAGACUCUUGCCUGCUAAAUAGUCCGAGGACCUAAUGCGUCCUCGCUUCGACUUCUUAGAGGUACAAGUGGCGAUUAGCCACACGAGAUGGAGCAAUAACAGGUCUGUGAUGCCCUUAGAUGUCCGGGGCCGCACAUGCGCUACAAUGAAUGCAUCAACGUGAAUCAGCCUCGCCCGAAAGGGUAGGGGAAAUCCGCUGAACCGCAUUCUCAGUGGGGAUUGGGGAUUGCAAUUGUUUCCCAUGAACACGGAAUUCCUAGUAGGCGCCAGUCAUUAGCUGGCGUCGAUUGAGUCCCUGCCCUUUGUACACACCGCCCGUCGCUACUACCGAUCGCCCUUGAGAAUGAGCCUGUUGGAUUGGACCCGGUGAGCGGGCCGCUUAACCGUGGCCUGCGAGCUCUGGUGUUUGCCGAGAAGAUGGGCAAAUUCCCUGGGGUAGAGGAAGUAAAAGUCGUAACAAGGUAUCC
rnacentral:rRNA from 1 species